AUACGUAGGUCCCGAGCGUUGUCCGGAUUUACUGGGCGUAAAGGGAGCGUAGGCGGAUUUUUAAGUGAGAUGUGAAAUACUCGGGCUUAACCUGAGUGCUGCAUUUCAAACUGGAAGUCUAGAGUGCAGGAGAGGAAAGUGGAAUUCCUAGUGUAGCGGUGAAAUGCGUAGAUAUUAGGAGGAACACCAGUAGCGAAGGCGGCUUUCUGGACUGUAACUGACACUGAGGCACGAAAGCGUGGGGAGC
rnacentral:rRNA from 1 species